CUUAACUCAAGUCUUUCCAGAGGAACAAAACUUAAGCACUGCAGGCCAUCUCUCACACUCAGGCAGAGUGCAGGAGAGAGACAGGAGCAUAGAAGGGAGGUAAGAGUGUAGCAAAGAGAUACUAAUGAGGGAACUUCACUGUAAGCCAUCCCUCACAUUAGGAAGGACAUUUAACAAGCAGAAGCAAAGUCAGAGGAGCACAACCAGGAUGGUGAGGUGACUGGAAACCAUACAACUCAAGAAGUAAUUGAAAUAACUGAGAAGAUGUAGUGUAUAAAAGGUAAUUACCCCAGAUCAAGAGACCGAUUGUAAACACGUUACGUUUUGCUGACAACACAAAGCUAGAGAGAAGUAGGAACUCUGGUUUAAGAGGCAAGGAAAAUUCAACAAGAUGUGCUCGCUCCCAGAGCUGUUAUGCAGCAAACGAAAUUCAGUAUUGACAAAUACCCACUAAUGCCAUUGGCCAAGGUGACUUUUUAUGGUGCCUCUCAGCCCCAUAUUUAUGAUCUCUCCCAUAAACUACCUGGAGGUUCUUCCAGCACCUUCUCUUAGACAGCCCAACAGCGAUCCACAAUGAACCUCCUCCAAACUUUGCUGGCAAGGCAUCCCUGUCCUGGACCAGAGACUGAAGUGCUGGAACCUGGGGCAAGAUAUAAGCAACUCAUCCAAGGGGAAGAAAAGAAGUUGGUGGGGGUG